rnacentral:rRNA from 1 species
AGUCGAGCGGUAAGGCCUUUCGGGGUACACGAGCGGCGAACGGGUGAGUAACACGUGGGUGAUCUGCCCUGCACUCUGGGAUAAGCUUGGGAAACUGGGUCUAAUACCGGAUAUGACCACAUGCCGCAUGGGGUGUGGUGGAAAGAUUUAUCGGUGCAGGAUGGGCCCGCGGCCUAUCAGCUUGUUGGUGGGGUAAUGGCCUACCAAGGCGACGACGGGUAGCCGACCUGAGAGGGUGACCGGCCACACUGGGACUGAGACACGGCCCAGACUCCUACGGGAGGCAGCAGUGGGGAAUAUUGCACAAUGGGCGGAAGCCUGAUGCAGCGACGCCGCGUGAGGGAUGAAGGCCUUCGGGUUGUAAACCUCUUUCAGCAGGGACGAAGCGUGAGUGACGGUACCUGCAGAAGAAGCACCGGCU